ACACAGAUAUGAAAAGUUUUUAUUAUCAGCAUAGCACAGUAUUUGUGGAUUCUAUCAAGCAAUCUCUACAAUAUUAAUAAAAUCAAUACAACAUAUCUUCCAAG